AGGGAGGAAGAAAUGGGAACUGACUGCUUAAUAAGUAUGGGAUUUUUGGUGGGGUGUUGAUGCAAUGUUUUGCAACUAGAUAGGGAUGAUGGCUGGCUGCACAGCAUUCUGAUUGCCAAAAGACUUAAGCUAAGUGUCUCAUGGAGAAGGGAAACAACUAUUAUGAGUCAUCUACACCUUACUGCCAACAAAUCUCAUGUCAUUUCCCGACAAUGGGUUUAGAGGAGAAGAAUGACAUAGCCCAAUGAAGAUAGGAAACUAUUCUGGACUUUGGAAGAAUAUGUAAAAAAAACAAAAAAAAA
rnacentral:lncRNA from 1 species